AGUGGCGAACGGGUGAGUAACACGUAAGCAAUCUACCUUUAAGUUUGGGAUAACCUUGCCAACGCGGGGCUAAUACCGGAUGUGAUCAGCUUGGCGCAUGUCAGGCUGUUUAAAGGAGCAAUCCGCUUAAAGAUGAGCUUGCGGCCCAUUAGUUAGUUGGCGGGGUAACGGCCCACCAAGACCGCGAUGGGUAGCCGGCCUGAGAGGGUGGACGGCCACAUUGGGACUGAGAUACGGCCAAGACUCCUACGGAGGCAGCAGUAACGAAUUUGGCCCAAAGGACGAAGUCUGACGCAGCAACGCCGCGUGAGGGAUGCGGCCUUCGGGUGUAACUCUGUUGAAUGGGAAAAAAGGUAGCAAUAUUUGAUGGUACCAUCGAGUGAGCACCGGCUAACUACGUGCCAGCAGCCGCGGUAAUACGUAGGGUGCAAGCGUUGUUCGGAAUCACUGGGCGUAAAGAGAGCGUAGGCGGGAUCGUAAGUUAGGAGUUUAAUCCACGGGCUCAACCUGUGGUCGGCUUUUAAUACUGCGGUUCUUGAGUAUGGGAGAGGGCGAUGGAAUUCCAGGUGUAGCGGUGGAAUGCGUAGAUAUCUGGAAGAACACCAGUAGCGAAGGCGGUCGCCUGGCCCAAUACUGACGCUGAGGCUCGAAAGCUAGGGGAGCAAACAGGAUUAGAUACCCUGGUAGUCCUAGCCGUAAACGAUGAACACUAGUUGCUGGAGGAGUCAAUCUUUUCGGUGACGAAGCUAACGCAUUAAGUGUUCCGCCUGGGAAGUACGCUCGCAAGAGUGAAACUCAAAGGAAUUGACGGGGGCCCGCACAAGCGGUGGAGCAUGUGCUUUAAUUCGAUGCAACGCGAAGAACCUUACCUAGGCUUGACAUGGGGGUGAAAUUCUGUAGAAAUAUGGAGCCUUCCGCAAGGAACACCCUACACAGGUGCUGCAUGGUUGUCGUCAGCUCGUGUCGUGAGAUGUUAGGUUAAGUCUGCAACGAGCGCAACCCUCGUCCUUAGUUGCUAACAGGUUACGCUGAGAACUCUAGAGACUGCCCGGCUUAACCAGAGAGGUGGGAUGACGUCAAAUCCUCAUGCCCAUACGCUAAGGCUAGAAACGUGCUACAAUGCCUGGUACAACGAGCUGCAAGACAGUGAUGACAAGCUAAUCUCUUAAAACCAGUCUCAGUUCGGAUUGAAGUCUGCAAUUCGACUUCAUGAAGCUGGAAUCGCUAGUAAUCGCGGAUCAGCAUGCCGCGGUGAAUACGUUCCCGGGCCUUGUACACACCGCCCGUCAAGCCAUGAAAGAUGGCAGUACCCGAAGUCGCUUCUCUAACCGCAAGGAAGAGUGCGCCGAAGGUAAGGCUGUUGAUUGGGGCUAAGUCGUAACAAGGUAACC
rnacentral:rRNA from 1 species